rnacentral:lncRNA from 1 species
AGUAGUCCAGUCCCUCUUGCACUUCCAAGGAGAUUUCCACUAAGUUUAAUCACACAGAUUACAACUGCUCAAUACUACACCUAGUAUGAGACUUCAAAUUGCUCAAGCACGCAGGCAAGAGACUUCCUUUGCUCAAGCACUAAAGCAAGAGACUUCCUAUGCUCAAGCACUAAAGCAAGAGACUUCUAUUCAAACAGAAUUACAC